UAAAAAUUUAAUUUAUAAUAUUUAAGUAGUAUUAGUUAAGAUCUUUAAAUUUAAAAAAUUUGGCGGUAUUUUAGUCUAUUCAGAGGAACCUGUUUUGUAAUCGAUAGUCCACGUUGUAUCUUACUUAAAUUUGUUUUUAUAGUUUAUAUAUCGUUGUUUAUAAAUAUUUUUAAAAAAUAAUAAUAUUUUAAAUUUUAAAUUAAAAAUUAUAUCAGAUCAAGAUGUAGUUUAUGUUUAAGUUUAUAAUGGGUUACAUUUAUUUUAUUAUUGGAUAUAGAUUUGUAAUUAUUUAUUGAAAUUGGAUUUGAUAGUAAAUUUAUAUAGAUAGAUAAGUUGAUUUUAGCUCUAAAAUAUG
rnacentral:rRNA from 1 species